rnacentral:rRNA from 1 species
GACGAACGCUGGCGGCGUGCCUAAUACAUGCAAGUUGAGCGCUGACGGUUGGUACUUGUGCCAACUGGAUGAGCAGCGAACGGGUGAGUAACGCGUGGGGAAUCUGCCUUUGAGCGGGGGACAACAUUUGGAAACGAAUGCUAAUACCGCAUAAAAACUUUAAACACAAGUUUUAAGUUUGAAAGAUGCAAUUGCAUCACUCAAAGAUGAUCCCGCGUUGUAUUAGCUAGUUGGUGAGGUAAAGGCUCACCAAGGCGAUGAUACAUAGCCGACCUGAGAGGGUGAUCGGCCACAUUGGGACUGAGACACGGCCCAAACUCCUACGGGAGGCAGCAGUAGGGAAUCUUCGGCAAUGGACGAAAGUCUGACCGAGCAACGCCGCGUGAGGGAAGAAGGUUUUCGGAUCGGAAAACUCUGUUGGUAGAGAAGAACGUUGGUGAGAGUGGAAAGCUCAUCAAGUGACGGUAACUACCCAGAAAGGGACGGCUAACUACGUG